CGAGCGCCAGCGAGAGAGCGUGGCCGCAGGCAACGACCCGAAGGGCGAAGCGCGCAGCGCUGAGUAAUCCUUCCCCCACCACCA
rnacentral:sRNA from 1 species